GAGCGGUAGGAGACCAGACUGAGAGGAAUUCAAAUGCAGGGGAGAUACGUGACCGAUGCUCCUGACCAGUUUCAAAGCCUCCAGGUUCACUGCAGAGGAGCGAGAUUGCCAUCUUCUGGUAAACAAGAUUGAGAGCAUACAGCUGGCUUUCCUUGAACUUGCCGGGAAAAGUCCCAACUUAACUAGCGGCUCACAUAAAUUCUCCAUAAAACUAAGCUGUGAUAGACUUCUCUUCAAAGAAGGACUUAUUGUCCCAUGCUUCAGCUUCCAACCUCUUUAGGGAUUCCUCAGCUGCACCUACUGACUCUUCCAACUGCCCCCGUUUCCCGGGGCCCACAUCCAGUGACUGGUGGAUACAGGAAUAUAAAGGCCAGCCAUUUUGGCCUAACUUUGGACUCCUCUAAUGGACCAUCUUAGCUCCAGAGCAACUUGUAGGAUUGACUUCUGUCAACCGUCCUAUCUUGAAUCUGGUCUUGGUCUAAUCCUGCUUCCUUACCCUCCCUUCCACAGGUGUUAAUCCCAAUGACAUUCCUUAAUGAAUAUCUUGCAGGCUAACUUCACCUCAGAGUCUGCUUCCCAGGGAAUCUAAACAGCAACUCAAGCUAAAGGACAGCUUUGUUGUCACCACUGACUUUGUUUUGUCAUCUUCUAUGGAAAAAGACUUUAUUUUUAACUUAAUCAAAAAUUAUUUAUCUUGGGGCCAGCAGAGUGGCUCAGUGAUUAAGUUCACAUGCUCCACUUUGGUGGCCCGGGGUUCACAGGUUCGAAUCCUGGGCGCAGACCAAUGCACCGCUCAUCAAGCCAAGCUGUGGUGGCAUCCCACACAUGAAAUAGAGGAAGAUGGGUACAGAUGUUAGCUCAGGGCUAAUCUUUCUCACCAAAAAAAAAAAAAAAAAAAUUUGUCUCAUCAAAUUUUAUUAAAUACAUGAUAUACCUUUAGAUAACUAAAAUACUAUAAGAAGCAUGGUUUUUGGCCAUUAUGUCUAUUUCAUAUCAUUGACAUGGUUUGCAUAAGCCUUUACGUGUGUGUAUGUGUACAUUGAUCGAAAUAUUGUAUUGAUAUAUUGAUCUAAAUUGGAAAACCUGAACAGUUUAUUGGAUCAAUGUUUUAACUUCUAGCUAGUUUAACUAUAAAAUAUGGUUGCUUAAAAUAUGUAUUUUAAGGUAAUA